AUCACAUCUUUGUGUUGUUGGAAGUUGCAAGAACUUUUCUGAUAGAUUUCAGCAGAACUAAGAAUUACUUGAUUCUAUUGUUGACUUGAUCUCUGCUUUUUGAAACUUUGGACCAGUCUGCGGGUGAGAUGAGUCUUCUGCUUAUUAACACAAGUAUGAAAAAUAGCUCAUGUUCAAGAUCACAGCAUGCAUAGGAGUCCAAACCAUCUUGAGAUAUUGGACAAAGGAAUUAGAGGUCAGCUGGGCAGAAAAAUGUCAGUGUCUUAUGUCUACGCUGGAUAGAAGAAGAAUUAAGAGACUUAUUGAUUCGAGGAAGAUUUAGACCAGUCACUGAGGAGGAACUAGCAGGAAGAGAUUUUCAAGGCAGGUCCUUGGGCUGUGUGUGGCAAUUGGGCACGUACCUGUUGGAAAUGCUUCAGGCAGAGAGCAACCUGUCUGUAGAGCCCCGGUACAGCAGGGUGCUGGCCUGAAACCAAUGUUCUGUGGGACUGGAGCCAGAAACAGGAUCAGGGUUGCAGGAAGAACCCUGAAAAGAAAGGCUCUUCUUUCAGAAAGUGGAGCUCCAUGAGCUGUCGGCAUCCCAGGGGCAGAGCAGAGGCAGAUUUUGGCUGUGAAGUUGACCCAGCCAAUGCCACGCAGGACAAGGUGGCAUUGAGAAGGUCCACAGCAGCAGCAUGUGUGCUGGAGGGGAACCACAAGCCGUGAAGGAUAGGGCAAAAGUGCCCGCUUCAUAAAUACACAUAAACAAACAAAACAGCUCACCAGCAGACAACGUAUGACACCUGUCAGUUGACUUCAAUGACUGCUCACCACUUCUUCGUGUUCUGCACCUCCCACAAGUCAGCUCCACAGAUGUGUCAGGAACGCUUCCUGAUGACUGCAUUGUAACAAAUGUGCAGAGGUAUGAAGUUGCAGUCCAUCACUUCCACACUGUUGCUGUGGCCCUGUGAACUCCUCUGAAUGAAAAACUCUUCAGUAUCACUCAGAAAUAUGAGGUUUAGGUUCAUCAGCUCCUUGUUGGCUUGCGACUAAAGGCCACAAUCAGUGUGGAGAAUGUGGGGCCCUUCUGCUCCAGACAUAUUUUCCAUAGUAGUUCCAUAUUUUCCUCCAAUUUACAAAGCAUUUCCAAAGGUGGAGAGCAAGAAGUGCACUGCCUACCUCCUGCAUCACCCACAACAGACCUUCCCACAGCACCAAAGGGAGAGCAGGGAGGUUGUUGGCUUUAAAUGAAUUGCACUGCCAACCCAUAAGGUGCAUUUGGGUUCACCGUGUUUUCCCUGUAUUUAAGUUUUACUCAUCUGAAAUUAAGCUAAUUAUACGUUUUCUUUAAUUUUCUCCUGUAACUCCUCUUUAUUUGAACAGCACUCAUAAGAUGUUUGAUUAUGGUCCAAAGUUACAUCGACUUUCACCCCAACUCUGCUGUCCAUUCAGAAAAGAGGCAGAAGGAGAUGGGCUGGGUUAGUCUAGGGAGAGUUGGAUGGAGAAGAUAGUAAGAGGCUCCAUCAGUGCUCCCCAACUAAGUGACACUGAAGUGCCACAUGGAGGAAGUACUUUUUGGGGCGCUAUCAACAGCCUAAAACUGUACUGGUACAUCCUUUUCUCUGGGUUAACUCUGGUCUCUUCUGUGCCACAGUGUGAAAGGUCUGAAGUAUCUCAGCCACUGUGUUAUGCUGACAGCACCCUUACCAGAGGAAUGCUGUUCUGCUCUCCUGUGAAGGAAGAAGGGAAUAGGAGCUCUCAUAAGAGCAUUUCUUGUGCUUCAAGUUCUUUGUAAGAGAAAACAUAGCUAAUUUUAGUUUAAAUGGAUGUUAAUUUGACGUGUGGAUUUGAAUAACUGAGAUAAAUUCUUGGCUUUUUGGCAUUAUAAUAUAUUAAAUGACAAAUGCUUUUUGAAUACUGAAAGGUUCUUUCUCUCUCCUCUGUAAGGCGUAAGUCUCCUGGAUUUGCAGGAAGUUGUACAGAAUGGUCCAAUAGGUCAUCUUCAUCUCUGGCUUAUGUGGUAAUAAAGGAAUAAUAAAAACGAAGGUUGCAAAGCAUUCUUUCCAUGACUGAAUCAGCUGGCUUUUUUAUGGGCCAGUUAUUCACUGAGCAAUAAAUAUUCAUGGGCUUUUCAGCAAAGACAUGGUGCAUAAUUAGUCUUGAGCGC
rnacentral:lncRNA from 1 species